CCUACGGGUGGCAGCAGUGGGGAAUAUUGCACAAUGGGGUAAACCCUGAUGCAGCGACGCCGCGUGAGUGAAGAAGUAUCUCGGUACGUAAAGCUCUAUCAGCAGGGAAGAAAAUGACGGUACCUGACUAAGAAGCCCCGGCUAACUACGUGCCAGCAGCCGCGGUAAUACGGAGGGGGCAAGCGUUAUCCGGAUUUACUGGGGGUAAAGGGAGCGUAGACGGCAGCACAACUCUGGAGUGAAAUCCCGGGGCUUAACCCCGGAACUGCUUUGGAAACUGUGCGGCUGGAGUGCAGGAGGGGUAAGCGGAAUUCCUAGUGUAGCGGUGAAAUGCGUAGAUAGUAGGAGGAACACCGGUGGCGAAGGCGGCAUACCGGCGCCCGACUGACGCUGAGGCACGAAAGCGUGGGGAUCGAACAGGAUUAGAUACCCUUGUAGUC
rnacentral:rRNA from 1 species